AGUCACUUGUGAACCUCAUCACAAGUGGCUAACACCCAUGAUGGGGUCAAUCAGAAUGUCGAAGGAUGGGGUUCAAUGGACUAGAUUCAGACCCUCUCCUGAAAAAGUGGAGGUGGUAAGGUCUGAAUAUGAACCUGGAUCCUCCUCAAUGGUAAGUCACAGCUUUAGAUUGCAGUCAUUAGGCCAACCGAAAAUUGGAUACAAAAUAAAAAUAUUAACUUUUUCUAUGAAGCCAUUCAAUAUUUUAGUGUCCUAUGUUAUUUUAUUAUGACUAAUUAAUUCAUUCAAUUGUAAAAUUUAAAGGAAUUGUGAUUUGUGAGGUUGAUUUAAAAAAG
rnacentral:lncRNA from 1 species